CCUACGGGUGGCAGCAGUGGGGGAUAUUGCACAAUGGGGGAAACCCUGAUGCAGCGACGCCGCGUGGGCGAAGAAGUAUUUCGGUAUGUAAAGCCCUAUCAGCAGGGAAGAAGAAAUGACGGUACCUGAGUAAGAAGCACCGGCUAAAUACGUGCCAGCAGCCGCGGUAAUACGUAUGGUGCAAGCGAUAUCCGGAUUUACUGGGUGUAAAGGGAGCGCAGGGGGCACGGCAAGCCUGAUGUGAAAGCCCGCGGCCCAACCGCGGGACUGCAUUGGGAACUGCCGGGCUGGAGUGUAGGAGAGGUAGGCGGAAUGCCUGGUGUAGCGGUGAAAUGCGUAGAUAUUAGACAGAACACCGAUGGCGAAGGCAGCCUACUGGACGGUGACUGACGCUGAGGCUCGAAAGCGUGGGGAGCAAACAGGAUUAGAUACCCUUGUAGUC
rnacentral:rRNA from 1 species